rnacentral:rRNA from 1 species
UCCAACCUUACCCCCUCGCGUCAGGGAGUAGCCCGCUGAAAGGCGGGAUUAACACCUGAUGGCGUUCACUAGAUGGCAUCGUGACGGUGAAUAAAAGAUAACGGCAAGGGAGUGGGAUGCGUCUGAUUAGCUUGUUGGCGGGGUAACGGCCCACCAAGGCAACGAUCAGUAGGGGUUCUGAGAGGAAGGUCCCCCACAUUGGAACUGAGACACGGUCCAAACUCCUACGGGAGGCAGCAGUGAGGAAUAUUGGUCAAUGGGCGGAAGCCUGAACCAGCCAAAGUAGCGUGCAGGACGACGGCCCUAUGGGUUGUAAACUGCUUUUGUACGGGAAUAAAGUGACCUACGUGUAGGUUUUUGCAUGUACCGUAAGAAUAAGGACCGGCUAAUUCCGUGCCAGCCGCCGC